rnacentral:rRNA from 1 species
UACGAAGGGUGCAAGCGUUACUCGGAAUUACUGGGCGUAAAGCGUGCGUAGGUGGUUUGUUAAGUCUGAUGUGAAAGCCCUGGGCUCAACCUGGGAAUUGCAUUGGAUACUGGCAGGCUAGAGUGCGGUAGAGGAUGGCGGAAUUCCCGGUGUAGCAGUGAAAUGCGUAGAGAUCGGGAGGAACAUCUGUGGCGAAGGCGGUUCUCUGGAACGCAACUGACGCUGAGACGCGAAAGCGUGGGGAGCAAACAGG